UGGCCGCUCCAUGUUCAAGAAAAGUUAGGACUGCUUUACACUCGGAAAGUAAAAAUUCCUAAUCCCUUUCACGUGGGAGCGUCAUGUGGAACAGUUUAACAUGCAGAGGAGGGGACGGAAACGUACAUAAAAAGGUGUACUUGCCUACUUGCGGGGACAUCAACUAAAAAAUUUGUUAUUAAAACCACAUCACUCAUAGCUAUCAAAUUCAAUUAUGCUACGGUUAGUCAUUCUUGCGCACCCUUCGCGCAUCCCCGACUGAUUCGGAGGGUAAUUUUGUCAACUUGAAUUCCUUUAAGGAUUCUUGACUCUAGAAGCAUUCGUCUUUCCUGCUCAACACUAACCAAGAAGGCAGAUACAAGAUACCCAACCCCCUCUCGUCUCUUCCAUCGGCACGUCUCCGUCAUCGACACGUUCGGGCACAACUCUCUCGCCAUCGGCACGUCUGGGCACCUCAAAUUCGGGUUUCACAGUCAUCAAAACGAGGCCUUUGAUGAUCUCUUGUGCAACAUCCCCCGGUAUUGUCUAGAUGGAGAAAGGUAAAGAGCACGCAUCUUCAUUAAUGCCUACCACAGAUCCACCAACAAAUCUAUUAACCCAGGUGUUCGUAACCCUGUUUAAAAUUCAGUAUAACUAUUUCAGUAUAAAAUUUAGUUCACUCUUCAACUAAUAGUUGGUUUAUAUGUUGGGUGUUAGCAAGACCCUUUUAUCUACAAUUCUCAACACCUCAUGCUACAAGUCAGCAGGUAUAACGAGGAGAUGAAGUAGUGUUUAAUGUUUAAGUCUUCAACACAUUAUCAAUUAAUGCCAACAUUUAUUCCGUCACUCUCUCUACUCUAAUUUUUAUUUUUUAUUUUUUAUUUUUUUUUAUAUUAUGUUCAUUUUGAACUAUUUAGAUUACAUUCACAGAUGCAACUUGGGGUAGAUGAAACCCAAUCAGAUAGCUUGCCUAACCCCAGAUGCAAUUUUGAGUUCUAGAGUUUUUGUAUUGCAUUUAAUGUAAAAGCUGCUUAGACUCGAGUUCAAUGUAUAUACUUGCUUAGUAGAAGUAACGAAGUUGACAUUUUUGUAAAGUGGUUGUUAUAUUAUAUUCAUUGUAUAUAACUUGUGUAUUUUGAGUUCCAGACCUAUUGUAUUGAGUUCAAUGUAUGUAUUAUAUGUUAAGUGUUCAAUGUAUUAACUUCCA